rnacentral:lncRNA from 1 species
AUUAAAUUAUUAAGUUGACCUAAUUUCAAAUCCAUCAUUUCAGGAAACAUGAGAGAAUCGAAGAUGAUGUUUUGUGCUAAUAAUGCAAUGGACAUACCGUACUUCAUGCCACCACGAGGCUAUACAAAAAGCUCAUCACUGAAAGGUAUGGACCUUGCCACACCCUUCUUAAGAAUUCAUUUUCUAGUUUUAUAUCUCAUAAAAAAUUACAUUAAUUAGAAUGUGACUUUUUGACCGGGAAAUAAUGUAUACUAUUGGUAGAGUUGUGCUUCCCAAUUACUUUAAUUAAAUUAAUAAGUUGACCUGAUUUCAGAUCCAUCAUUUAAAAAAAUAUGAGAGAAUCGAAGAUGAAGGUUUGUGCUAUUAACGCAAUGGACAUGCCACACUUCAUGCCACCGCCGCACUUCAUGCCAGACUAUACAAAAAACUCUCAAUGCAGUUAGUUAUUGUCUUUUGACCUUGACUCACCUUCUUAAGAAUUCAGUUCCAAUUCUACACCUCAAAUUAAUUUUUUUUAAAAGGCUGCAUUCAUUAGAAUGUGAUAUUUUGACUAAGAAUAAUCUGUACUACUAGUAGAUUGUGCUCCCCAAAUUAAUCUAAUUAAAUUAAUAAGUUGACCUCAUUUCUGAUCCAUUGUUUCAGGAAGAUGUACAUGAGAAUUGAAGAUGAAGCUGCAUUUUACAUUUUGAAUAUGGAUGGCUAUCAUUUUAUUAAUGUAAAAGAAACUAGCCAGCACCUCCACUAGCUGGCUGAUUUAAAUGCACUCAUCCGCAAAU